rnacentral:tRNA from 1 species
GCAUCGGUGGUUCAGUCGUAGAAUACCGGCCUUCCAUGCAGGACACCUAGGCUUUAUUCCCCGCCAAUGCA